rnacentral:tRNA from 1 species
UGCGGGGUAGCCAGGUGGUACGGCAGCGCACUGUUAAUGCGCCCUUCGGGGGUUCGACACCCUCCCUCGCAGCCA